CGUUAACAAUUUAAAAACUUCUAAUACAUGUAAUGGAUUGAAUGUGAAACUGACUUGAAGUCACAAACUUAAAAGACAGCGAGCAGAACGUGGGAGAGGAAAACAGAUAUAUGAAAAAAACUUUAAUGCAGUUUAAGGACAAUAGAUACAAGAGGUGAUAAAGACAUACAAAAUCAAAACGGGAUUAACAUUCGGACGGCAGCUCACCCAGGGACACACGGAGGCGGGGCCGAGCCCACGCCGGUCGCCCCACACCCCCGCCGCCAUUUUGACUGCGGCCACUUGUCGCCUCAUGUCGCGGGCCAGCCCUGCGUGCGUUCUCGAAGGAGGAGACAGACUGGUGAAUGGUGUGUCGCCAGACCUCGCGACCGGAGGCUGGAGUAGACCACUGGCGAUGGUCAAUGUGACAGGCGCCAAGGGAUUUCUUCAGAGUCCUUGUACCUCUUCUUCAGUGCCCCCCGUCACAGUGGCCAAUGGAGAGUUUGCCAUACAGCACAAUCCUGGGCAGGCGAUGCCCCUCCAUCCUGGAGAUGUGCCCUGCCCAGCGCAUGGUUUCAAUGCUGGUGAUCUCCACCUGUUUGAGAACUUCAAUGUUGGUGACAAAGUCACUCCAGUGGAUGCUAAGGAUGGUGUGGAAGCAGCACUGGUGAAAACGCUCCAGGAUUCGUAGGGAUGAUGACAGCAAGGAUCAAUCUGUGGGAGCAAACGAGAGAACCUGCAGAUGCUGGAAAUCCAAGCAACACACACACAAAAUGCUGGAGGAACUCAACAGGUCUGGCAGCAUCUAUGGAAAAAAGUACAGUCAAUGUUUUGGGCCAGACAUUUCAGCAGGACUGGAGUAAUGCUGAAGGGUCUCGGCCCGAAACGUUGGCUGUACUCUUUUCCAUAGAUGCUGCCUGGCCUACUGAGUUCCUCCAGGAAAAUCUGUGGGAGCAGUUUGCUAGAGGCUAGCCAUAAAUUGCUGCAAUGGAUACCAUGAAUACAAAACAGCCUUAAUUUACAAAAGGAAGAAUACCAUUUUAUUUUUCAGUUGAUAAUGUGGACAUGCAAAUGGUGAUUAGCUGUAGUUCACACAUUUUAUAUGUACAGACAAAUAAAUGUAGCUAUAUUCUCUGCA